rnacentral:rRNA from 1 species
AGCGAACGCUGGCGGCAGGCCUAACACAUGCAAGUCGAACGAACUCUUCGGAGUUAGUGGCGGACGGGUGAGUAACACGUGGGAACGUGCCUUUUGGUUCGGAAUAACUCAGGGAAACUUGUGCUAAUACCGAAUGUGCCCUUCGGGGGAAAGAUUUAACGCCAUUAGAGCGGCCCGCGUCUGAUUAGCUAGUUGGUGAGGUAACGGCUCACCAAGGCGACGAUCAGUAGCUGGUCUGAGAGGAUGACCAGCCACACUGGGACUGAGACACGGCCCAGACUCCUGCGGGAGGCAGCAGUGGGGAAUCUUGCGCAAUGGGCGAAAGCCUGACGCAGCCAUGCCGCGUGAAUGAUGAAGUUCUUAGGAUUGUAAAAUUCUUUCACCGGGGACGAUAAUGACGGUACCCGGAGAAGAAGCCCCGGCUAACUUCGUG